UACGGAGGGUGCAAGCGUUAAUCGGAAUUACUGGGCGUAAAGCGCGCGUAGGCGGUUUUGUAAGUCGGAUGUGAAAGCCCCGGGCUUAACCUGGGAAUUGCAUUCGAUACUGCGUGACUAGAGUAUGGUAGAGGGAAGCGGAAUUCCGGGUGUAGCGGUGAAAUGCGUAGAUAUCUGGAGGAACACCGGUGGCGAAGGCGGCUUCCUGGACCGACACUGACGCUGAGGCGCGAAAGCCAGGGGAGCAAACGGG
rnacentral:rRNA from 1 species